rnacentral:rRNA from 1 species
GUCCUUUUGAUUAUAAUUUAAGGUCUGACCUGCCCACUGAUUAUUUAAAUGGCCGCGGUAAUUUGACCGUGCAAAGGUAGCAUAAUCAAUAGUUUUUUAAUUGAAAGCUGGAAUGAAAGGUUGAAUGAGAAAAUGACUGUCUCUGAUCAAUUUUAUUAGAAUUUUAUUUUUAAGUUAAAAAGCUUAAAUAUUAUUUAAAGACGAGAAGACCCUAUAGAAUUUUACAUUCUUUUUUAUUUUUUAUUUUUAGAAUUAAUAUUAUUAAUAGGGAAGUUUGUUUAGCUGGGGCGGCUGAAAAAUUAAGUAAACUUUUUUUGUAUAAAAACAUUGAUUUAUGAUUUAAUUGAUCCAUUUAUUAUGAUUAAAAGAUUAAAUUACCUUAGGGAUAACAGCGUAAUUUUUUCUGAGAGUUCAAAUCGAAGAAAUAGAUUGCGACCUCGAUGUUGGAUUAAAAUUAAUUUUUGGUGUAGAAGCUGGGAAUAUUAGGUCUGUUCGACCUUUAAAAUUUUACAUGAUCUGAGUUUAAACCGGCGUGAG